rnacentral:tRNA from 2 species
GCUGGGGUGGCGGAAUUGGUAGACGCCCAGGACUUAAAAUCCUGUGCCCUUAGGGGCGUACGGGUUCGAUUCCCGUCCCCAGUACCA